UGAGAGGCGUAAACAGAUGUUCCUGGAUUGAGAGAUGUAAAUACAUCGCUUCUCGGCCUUUUGGCUAAGAUCAAGUGUAGAGAGGCGUAAAUAGAUGUUCCUGGAUUGAGAGACAUAAACAGAUAUUCCUGGAUUCGGAGGCAUAAACAGAUGUUCAUGGAUUGAGAGGCGUAAACCCAUAUUCCUGGAUUGAGAGGCGUAAGCAGAUGUUUAUGGUUUGAGAGGCGUAAACAGAUGUUCCUGGAUUGAGAGGCGUAAACCCAUAUUCCUGGAUUGGGAGGCGUAAACAGAUGUUCAUGGAUUGAGAGGCAUAAACAGAUGUUCCUGGAUUGAGAGACGUAAACAGAUGUUCAUGGAAUGGGAGGCGUAAACAGAUGUUCCUGGAAUGGGAGGCGUAAACAGAUGUUCCUGGAAUGGGAGGCGUAAACAGAUGUUCCUGUAUCGAGAGGCGUAAACAUAUGUUCCUGGAUCGAGAGGCGUAAACAGAUGUUCCUGGAUUCGGAGGCAUAAACAGAUGUUCAUGGAUUGAGAGACGUAAACAGAUGUUCAUGGAUUCAGAGACGUAAACAGAUGUUCAUGGAUUGAGAGACGUAAACAGAUGUUCAUGGAUUGAGAGGCGUAAACCGAUGUUCCUGGAUUGAGAGACGUAAAUAGAUGUUCCUGGAUUCGGAGGCAUAAACAGAUGUUCAUGGAUUGAGAGACGUAAACAGAUGUUCAUGGAUUGAGAGGCGUAAACCGAUGUUCCUGGAUUGAGA
rnacentral:lncRNA from 1 species